GCAUAUCAGCAGCGAAAACAGGAGGAGCACUUGUGUUGUUCGGCAAGCUGUUGCUCGCAGACUUUAAUCCUGCUCUGACAUGAUGAGGUAGACUUGUUACUAGGAUCUUCUUCUGCUCCUGUGCGUCUGAACCAAUCCCUUUUCAGCACAGCAAUCUUUGCGUUGACCUUCGGCGUGGAUUUCCUUGAGGGCAGGGUGGCCUCUCUGGAAGUUGAACCAAGUGGCUUAGGGUGGAGGAAUCAUCAGAGCUGCUGCUGAUGCAGCCAGAGAAAUAUAUGAAUGACUGCAAAGAUGUAGUCGCUGAACCAAUGGGAAGAAAGGAAAAAUCACUGGGCCAAUCGCAGGGCUCUUUUCUUCUCCCCCUUGCAGCAUCUCCCUGACUUCUUCUCCUGACUGUUACCAGGUCAGUGUGCCUGCCCGCGCCUCUGAAUAAUCUGUUUCAUUGGGUCAGUGUGCCUUUCUCGACGCGCCUGACUGGCUGCCGAGGCAUACGCGGUUGCUAGGGAGCUCAGCCAAUCGGAGGAAGGCGGAAGUUUCACUUCGGUUUCCAGGCAGGUUUCACGUGCUGUAGAUGUUUUGGCGGGAGAGUGGGAGAGCUACUAAGUGGGAGGGGCUGCUACACAGUGAAGUGGAGCAUGUGAUGGGGAAACGAGAACCAAUUGCUGUGCUGUUGCCAUCGGAGCGGGGAGGUUUGUUUUCUCUCCGCUUCCACCACUGGUACCUCCCCGUCGACAGUUACCUUAGAAACAAGAGCAACUCCAACUCUAUUUCCAUCCAUGUCUCUUCCUUCAAUGAUUUAUCGUUGUUUUCUUUUUUUAAUCUACCACACAGCACCUGCCUACCAACACUUUAGAGGCCAAUCGAGUGUUCAGAACAUUCUGGGACAUCUCUGAGGAGGAAGAAGUGCAGAAGCAUCCUGCUGGAGAACAGCUCAUACAAUAGCACCUGAACUUUUGUCAUGCAUGCCUGUGAUGCAAAAAUAACAAGAUUAACUAUUUGGUAGAGUAGCUUGCACCCCUAACCCCUAAAAACAUACACAAGCAUGUCUUUCACCAGCACAUUAACUCCCCCACCCCACUGAAGCAUGCAGUUAAGGCAGGAAAGUAACUCAUCCCAUCUGACAUGGGUCUCCAAAAAGCCUAUUAUUAACACCCAAGUGCACACGGAGUUACAAGGAUUAUACUGGAUCGGAAGGAGUGAGUGGACACAAUUCUCCUUCUCAGGACAGAAAACAAACAUUUUGGACCAGUCUUUUAAAAAGGGAGUCUCUGUUUCUGUAAAUAUUUUAUUGUAAAUGCAGCAUCUUUUAAAAAAUUUCUUAAUUGACACAACCUAAUUUUUUUAUGUUUAUGCAACUAUGACAGGCAUUUUAAAAGUUGAACAAGUUUUAAAGAUGUUUCCCUUUCCGUCUUUUGCUGUACUAAACCAAUAACAUGCAUUAUUAUUCACUGCUUCUGCAUGUUUGAUUGAUGUCUGUGGCGGGGGGGGAGGGGAUUGGACAGUGAGGUCAUAAUUAUCAAAGUUGGAAAUAUGAACCACAUUUCUUGAUAACAGAUCUCCAAGUGGCAAUGGUGGACAUUUCUUACCCACCCAGACCACAAAAUCCAAUAUGGCCACCACAUGUCUAAAGUAUAGCAAUAUUGCAGUGAUAAGAUGCACCUUUGAACUUCUUUGAUUGAAGCCAUAAUCACUGUACUUGAACUCAACAUCUGAUGUGGCUUCUUGUACUUAUUAGCUUUACAUAACAUUAGAGCCAAUGGUUAAUUUGAUUUGCAUGUAUUUUGUACAUGCUUGAAAACUCAACCCAAAAUCCGCAAGUAGACCUUUUACCUCCACCUGAGAAGUAGUGUUCUGUAGUAAUUACGCCAAAUCUGUGAUGCUAUUGGAAAUACAUAAAAAAAACAAAGCAGAAGACUGAGGGUUGGGUUAGAAGAGGGGCUAUAACUCCCUGAAACAAUGCAUCUCCAAUAAACUGCAUUAGUUAAUUUAAAUAAAAAUGUUCCUGUGUGCACAGCGCUCUUAAGAUCCAACUGGCAUUAUUUUUCAAGCAUUUCUUAAUUUCCUUAUAUCCCUUUUUAAGAUCCAUAUAUAACAAAUUUCUCACACUUCAGGCUUUACUUUGCCAGGUCACCAUAUUGUUUUUGUGUAAAUAGUUUUGUAGUUAGUAACUUUACAUUGUGAAACCUAAGGAGUAAACCUAAGAAUACGACAAUGAGGCUUUUCAGUGUCAUUUCAACAUAGUCCAACUGUGCAGCAUUCUUUGUGAAAACUGGGGAAGACAUUUUGUCUUUUCACCCAUCCUCCUCUUUGACCCCUCUGACCUUUUCUUUCAGUCUAUCAAAAAAGGUUACCAAGCACCCUCCAAAGAAAGUGCACUUGGCCAGGUGUGCAUUCAGUAAUUAGGGAUACAAAUACUAGCUAUGAGGAGCGAUGAGCAUUCCUGUUGGUAGCUAGAAUCUGCUUCAUUCUUAGAUGAGGGAACCAGAUCAAACUGAAAAAAUGUAUAUACUCAUUAUAUUCAAAAAAACAACAUCAUGGUUCCAGCAUAAGUAUGUUAAUGUGGACUUUUGUGCCUACAGCAGUCGCUUACCUUUGACUUCAAACAAUUAAGCUUUUUAUAUAGCACCGAUAGGCAGAAAAUAUUAUCAGUUGCAUUAUCUCAGACCCAAUUAAUAUUAGUUCUACAUGUCAGUUACAGAAUCCCAUUAGUUCACAUCCAGUCCAUUACAGUACAGUACAAAACAGUACAGUCAAAGUCAAGUGUUAAUUUACUGCCAACUGGUGAGAAGUUAUCUAUUUAAAGAAGCUGAGACUAUUGCAUUGAGUGGUUGACUUUGCAACAUUUCCUUCUCCUGAGUAAGCAAAUUGUGACUGUGAAGAGACAGGAAGGAGAUGCAGAAACAACACAGAAGCUCUGAAAUUAUUUCUAUGGGAAAGAAAGUUAAUAGCAGCAAUAAUCCCACCAACAAGGCGAGAGAGAGAUAGCAAAAUACAUACACCCAGCCAGGUCUACCUUAUAUGUGAAGGUAGAAUUUGCUGAUAAGGACACUUUCAUUGAGGCUAUUUUUGGAUAUGUAAUAGUUCCGCUAAAAAAUUUAAAUAUUCACUGAAAACCAGUUUUUUAAACCACAUGACCAGUUGCCCAGAUAAAAUAUGAUGUGCUUCAAUUAAAUGAGUUUUACUUUUACAGUUAAAAUCUGACAUUUAUUGUAUUUGUUGUUGAGACGGACUGUUUUGGGUUUGGAAAGACCUUAGUUUUUUUCAGAACUACUGGAAUGAGGUGAUUGAAAAACCAAAUGAGCUGCAGUGAAGUUGCUGAAUGCCUUUAACAAAUGCAUUUGAAAAAAAAAAUGCAUUUGUAAGUGCACCUUGCCUUUCACUGGGCAUCUUCAUGUAAAUCCUGGUUUUAGUUCAUCUGUGAUUAUCCUAUUCAAAUAAAACAAAUGCUUUUCUU